UCUAAAACUAAAAAGGUAAUACCCACGGGGAAACUUUUAUUUUAUGACGGCCCCUUUCCUAAUUAAAGGAACUUGUCAAUUUAUCGAGAUUACACGCUAAUUUUCCCCUUUCUUUAAAGCCUUUAUACCGUCGUCUUAAGAUUGUGUUAAGUUCCAUCUCUCGAAAUUAUUCAUUUAGUUAAGUCAGAUCAAGGUGAAGCCAAUAGAGAAGAUUUGAUGAGUUAUAAGUAAAAAAAAAUUUAAGGAUUCCUUUUCCAAAAAUCAGUUGAAUUAAGAUUUAAAAGUACAUUUAAAUUAAUAUUUUAUAUGGAAAAAGUAAAAAGGGGUGU
rnacentral:rRNA from 1 species